rnacentral:rRNA from 1 species
GUCCUCUCGUUUUUGUGGGAGGUCGGGCCUGCCCGGUGAAAAUGUUUUAACGGCCGCGGUAUUUUGACCGUGCAAAGGUAGCAUAAUCAUUAGUCUUUUAAUAGGGGACUGGAAUGAAGGGUUUGACGAAAUAAUAACUGUCUCAUUAAUAAUAUUUGAAUUUAACUUUUAAGUUAAAAGGCUUAAAUUUAGUUGGAAGACGAGAAGACCCUAUAGAGCUUUAUUUAUGAUUAUAUAAUUUUUUACUGUCUAUUUUCUUGUUUUAUAAUCAUGUAUUUUGUUGGGGAGACAAAGAAAUAUAUAAAACUUUCAUUAUUUUAUUACAUUUAUUUAUGGGUUUGUGAUCCGUUAUUAUCGAUUAUUAGAAUAAGUUACCUUAGGGAUAACAGCGUAAUCUUCUUUGGGAGUUCAAAUUUACAAGAAGGCUUGCGACCUCGAUGUUGGAUUAAGAUAAUAGUUGGGUGCAGUAGCUUAAUUAAUAGGUCUGUUCGACCUUUAAAUUCUUACAUGAUCUGAGUUCAGACCGG